GUGCUCCCUUUGGCAGCACAUAUACUAAAAUUGGAAUGAUAUAGAGAAGAUUAGCAUGGCCCUUGCGCAAGGAUGACACGCAAAUUCGGGAAGCGUUCCAUAUUUUU
ensembl:snRNA U6 U6 spliceosomal RNA